rnacentral:rRNA from 1 species
CCUACGGGUGGCAGCAGUGGGGAAUAUUGCACAAUGGGGGCAACCCUGAUGCAGCGACGCCGCGUGAGUGAAGAAGUCAUUCGUUAUGUAAAGCUCUAUCAGCAGGGAAGUAAAUGACGGUACCUGAGUCAGAAGCCCCGGCUAACUACGUGCCAGCAGCCGCGGUAAUACGUAGGGUGCCAGCGUGAUCCGGAUUUACUGGGUGUAAAGGGAGCGUAGACGGUAGUGCAAGUCUGGAGUGAAAGGCGGGGGCUCAACCCCCGGACUGCACUGGAAACUGGACGGCUGGAGUGCAGGAGAGGUAAGUGGAAUUCCUAGUGUAGCGGUGAAAUGCGUAGAUAUUAGGAGGAACACCAGUGGCGAAGGCAGCUUACUAGACUGUAACUGACGUUGAGGCUCGAAGGCGUGGGGAGCAAACAGGAUUAGAUACCCCAGUAGUC